rnacentral:ncRNA from 1 species
CUUAAUGUUAUGACGGAGACCGGUAUUUUAUUUUAUAGUCUCAGAGAAUCGGUGGCUGGUGAAAACCGACACUAUAAUAAUAUACGUCUCACUCCCGAGCAGUGUCCUUGAACAGUUGAUUUCUUAUUAGAGGACAACGCCUGGCCCCGUUAAAGGCCUUAGCUUAUUUUAUCUUGGAAAGAGGUGUCCUUAUUUUAGGAUACAAUUAAGGUGGUACCGCGGGUGUUUUCUCGUCCUUGAA